rnacentral:rRNA from 1 species
GAGGCAUGCAAGGGCUGUCGCUGACUUUUUAAUCACAAAAAGUCGUGCACGCCGGAGCGUGUCCUCUCGCAUAAAAUCCAUCUCACCCUUUUGUGCACCACCGCGUGGGCACCCUUUGGGGUCGAACCGAUCCAGGAGGGCGCUUGCGUUUUCACACAAACCCCCUUAUAAAAGUGUAGAAUGACCCCAUUUUUGCGAUAACACGCAAUCAAUACAACUUUCAACAACGGAUCUCUUGGCUCUCGCAUCGAUGAAGAACGCAGCGAAAUGCGAUACGUAAUGUGAAUUGCAGAAUUCAGUGAAUCAUCGAAUCUUUGAACGCACCUUGCGCCCCUUGGUAUUCCGAGGGGCACACCCGUUUGAGUGUCGUGAAAAUCUCAACCUCCUCGGUUUCUUCUGGACGCCGAAGGAGGCUUGGACUUUGGAGGCCUUUGCUGGCGUCUCUCGCCAGCUCCUCUCAAAUGAAUUAGCGGGGUCCUCUUUGCCGAUCCUCGACGUGUGAUAAGAUGUUUCCAUGUCUUGGUUUCUGGCUCUGUCGCCUUUGGGACCCGCUUCUAACCGUCUCAAGUCGAGACAACGUUUGAGCGUGUCUCCCUUCUCGGGAAACACCCUCGAGCCCACGAACCCUUGACCUCAAAUCGGGUGAGACUACCCGCUGAACUUAAGCAUAUCAAU